CACAGGUGCUGCAUGGCUGUCGUCAGCUCGUGUCGUGAGAUGUUGGUUAAGUCCGCAACGAGCGCAACCCUUGUCAUUAGUUGCUACGAAAGGGCACUCUAAUGAGACUGCCGGUGACAAACCGGAGGAAAGGUGGGGAUGACGUCAAGUCCUCAUGGCCCUUAUAGGUGGGGCUACACACGUCAUACAAUGGCUGGUACAAAGGGUUGCCAACCCGCGAGGGGGAGCCAAUCCCAUAAAGCCAGUCGUAGUCCGGAUCGCAGUCUGCAACUCGACUGCGUGAAGUCGGAAUCGCUAGUAAUCGUGGAUCAGCAUGUCACGGUGAAUACGUUCCCGGGUCUU
rnacentral:rRNA from 1 species